rnacentral:rRNA from 1 species
UUAUCGGAAUGAGAACAAUUCAAAUCCUUUAACGAGGAUCUAGCGGAGGGCAAGUCUGGUGCCAGCAGCCGCGGUAAUUCCAGCUCCGCAGGUGUAUAUCUAUGCUGCUGCGGUUAAAAAGCUCGUAGUUGGAUCUGCGUGCUCGGAACUGGUUGGCUCACUGAGUUCAAACUGGUCUCCGGCGCUUUAUUGGCUGGUUUUCCCUUGAUGCUCUUAACCGGGUGUCUUGGGUGGCUAGCACGUUUACUUUGAAAAAAUUAGAGUGCUCAAUACAGGCGUAAAGCCUUGAAUAGUGGUGCAUGGAAUAAUAGAAUAGGACCUCGGCUCUAUUUUGUUGGUUUUCGGAACGCGAGGUAAUGAUUAAGAGGGACAGACGGGGGCAUUCGUAUUGCGACGUUAGAGGUGAAAUUCUUGGAUCGUCGCAAGACGGACGACUGCGAAAGCAUUUGCCAAGAAUGUUUUCAUUAAUCAAGAACGAAAGUUAGAGGUUCGAAGGCGAUCAGAUACCGCCCUAGUUCUAACCGUAAGCGAUGCCAACUAGCGAUUCGCAGGCGUUAAACAACGACCUUGCGGGCAGCUUCCCGGAAACGAAAGUGUUCGGGUUCCGGGGGAAGUAUGGUUGCAAAGCUGAAACUUAAAGGAAUUGACGGAAGGGCACCACCAGGAGUGGAGCCUGCGGCUUAAUUUGACCCAACACGGGAAAACUCACCCGGCCCGGACACCGUAAGGAUUGACAGAUUGAGAGCUCUUUCUUGAUUCGGUGGGUGGUGGUGCAUGGCCGUUCUUAGUUGGUGGAGCGAUUUGUCUGGUUUAUUCCGAUAACGAACGAGACUCUGGCCUACUAAAUAGUGGGCGGAUUCUUUCUGUCCGCAACACUUCUUAGAGGGACAAGCGGUGUUCAGCCGCACGAGAUUGAGCAAUAACAGGUCUGUGAUGCCCUUAGAUGUCCGGGGCUGCACGCGCGCUACACUGAAGGAAUCAGCGUGCUUUCUGACCUUGCCCGAAAGGGCUGGGUAACCCGAUGAAAAUCCUUCGUGAUUGGGAUAGGGACUUGCAAUUAUUUCCCUUGAACGAGGAAUUCCCAGUAAGUGUGGGUCAUAAGCUCGCGUUGAUUACGUCCCUGCCCUUUGUACACACCGCCCGUCGCUGCCCGGAACUGAGCCGUUUCGAGAAGAACAGGGACCGUCGUUGAAGGGCCUUAACGGGCUUUUCUCUGAUAGAAACUGUU